AUGAUCUUGGCCCCAGCAGCUCCACCUCCCGCCUCCACCCAGCAACUCUACGGCAACCGCCAACUCGGCGCAGCCAGUGACGUACGAGCCCGACGGCCACUUCCGGGCGCCUCGUGUGUCGUAUUAGGGAGGCGUGGACGCGGUGGCGGAGGGCUACCCCUCCAGGGGCGGCUGCAUAGGUCCUGUGUUGGGAAUAUAAACAUUAGCGGUGUGUUUAUUUGGACAGAAUCUUCUCACAGCAAAACGAGCUGGGGUUCCAUGGAGCCGAUCAUAAAGACGAGAUGAGGAAGCUAAGGCCGUCGGACCACCAACAUCAGUGCCACUCAGGAGCUUGUUAGAAAGGCAGAAUCGUGGGCCCCACUUCAGACCUAUGGAACCAGAAGCCGGACAGAACCACUGGCCAGGACCAGAGGGCUCCAGCAGGUCUCACACUUGCACAUGUGUAAAUGUCACCCAGAGAGUACGUUAAAACCCCGAUUCCCGGGGCCAGCCGCUAGAGAUUCCGAGUCUCUGGUGUUUAGCAGUAGUAUUUUGGCUCUCUGUAGAAUUGCUUUUGCAAAGUGCUUUUUGGUAUCACAUUAUCUACCAACAUUAGCUGAUGUUAAGAAGCAAAAUUUGCAUACUGCUUAAGGCAUAAGUAUCAAAGUUUUCUUUGGCUUGGGGUUGACAUACUUUUUUAAAGGCCCAGAGAGUAAAUAUUUCAGGCUUUGGGGACCAUUCAGUCUCUGUCAUAUGUCGUGAAAGCAGCCACAGGCAAUAGGAAUGACAGGUAUAACUCUAACUCACCCCUUCAGUUGGCUUAUAGCAGAGAACCUCCGGUGAUCUCACUGAGAGCAGUUCAGCAUGCAUUUGAAGAGCAGAUAUUUAAACACUUGGAGAGGAAGGGACUCUUAAGUAAAAUAAGUAAUACUGUAGGAGAGGAAAAACAAUUUUUCUCUACCCUUCUAGGUUCUUGGCUGAGAACCCUCUCACCCCUAUAAUAAAAGACAGAUUAACAAGAAAAACAAACAAUUUUAAUUAUGUAUAUAAGGGAGCCCCACAAAGAUACGAGACUCAAAGCCAGCAAGGCAAUGGGGACUUGUGUACUAUCCUGAGCUAAGGAAAAGGUUAGGGGCUGGAGCUUCAAAGGGGAGGAAGACAAUUCACGGGAAGAUGUGAGGAGCAAAUGUUUGGUAAGCAAAUGUUUGCUCUGCCAUGCAGGUAAGUCGCUCAGAUGAAAAAGCUUUCUCUGGUUAUAGCUCUCUUCCUGGUAUGGGCCCCCUUUCUAAUUUUUUUAGGCAGUUAAGAAGGAGGUAAAAAGCUUUUCCUGAGACUGCUGGGCCUUGAUUAUCUUCAGCUCAAAGUAAUCUGCAUGCCAAAGUAGCACAUUCUGGGACAGAGUCUUCUGACCCCCCUCAAUACAAUAUUCCUGGUUAACUUUCUUCAGGCUGACUCUAACACCUCUUCCACUGGGCUAUAAAAUCCUAAUCCUUUAUCAGUUUCCACAAGAUAACUUCUCACCUUCAGGGCUAUAAAUUGUCACUACUUCUAUCAAGUAUGUGCCAUUAAUUUUAAAAAAAAUGUGAGAAGUAAUCCUCAUUUUAUCAUUUUCCAGAUGUGGAGUAAUUUUUCUCAUUGGCAUUAUGAGAAAAAGCCCCAUGAAGUUGAGUACUGUUUGCUGUAAAGAUUUUGUUGAAGACAUAGUUUUCUAGCUUACAGGAUGUCAUCUUGGAGUACCCACAGGAUAAAUUCUCCUGUCUGCUGUGAAUCAUGUAACCUUCCUAACCAGACACCGGGAAUGAGUUUUGUGUCCUCACUUUCUCCCUGGUAUAAUCUUAUUUUAUCUACCCUCAUUUGUAUUUAUUUCCUACUUUCCCCAUUAACUUAAUUUUUAUCUUAUUUUGCGCAUUUUUGUAAAUUGCCUUAUGUUCUUUUUGGAAUACAAAUUUAUUUAAAUAAAGAGUAUGUUCAGAUUGGAGGAUUCUUUAGUUUAAUGUUCCUUGAGAAGGAAGAGGAAAUGAAGCUAAUAUUUGCAUACUCAGAAAACAAUACAUAUGAUGUCCUUGACAACAACCUAAAUGUAAUAUACUCACAUUUACAUCCUCCAUCCUAUGACAAAAGUUGUCUGUUCUUAGUUGGUAUGUAUAUCACACAUAUCUCAUCUAAAGGGAUCUAAAUAACCUAGACAGUUACUCUGCAGUAUUUCUUUUUUGUUUUGUUUUCCAAACAAAAUUCACAUUUUAUUAGAUUGAAAUAAACUGUGAAAAAUGUCCUCACCUAAAAGCAAUAUUUUCUGUAUUAUUCCUAGAUAAACCACAAAACUUAAUUUUUGCAAUAAGACCCGUUUUCCUGGUUAUGUAUAUAAAUCAAGAUGAUGUGAUAGAUGUUGGUCAAAAAAGAAGAUAAGGAAAACCAGACAAAUCAGUUAUCAGUGUCUGUGGACACAGAUUCUGUUGUGCUUGGAAAUUAGUGCUUACCGCACAUCUGCUAAAAAGCUGAGGGCCCAGUUAGGGUGUGGGCAUGGUAACAGAACACACUCAGCAGCAACAUGCGGGGGGCAACAAUGGCUCAUUCUUCCAUUUACAGUAAAAGUAAUUUAUCUGUUUACAUCCCGUUGAUGAAGACAUAAUCUACACUGAAAUCCUCCUUAGGUGAGCGCACGGUUUCUGACGCUAUAUAAACAACCAUUACAGAUUUUUUUUUAAAAAGAUUUUAUUUAUUCAUUUGACAGAGCUAGAGACAGCCAGCGAGAGAGGGAACACAAGCAGGGGGAGUGGGAGAGGAAGAAGCAGGCUCACAGCGGAAGAGCCUGAUGUGGGGCUCGAUCCCAUAACGCCGGGAUCACGCCCUGAGCUGAAGGCAGACGCCUAACCGCUGUGCCACCCAGGCGCCCCAACCAUUACAGAUUUUUAACAAUAUACUUAAAACACACUGUACUUGCAUUGAAUUCAGACGCUUCAUUGCAUUUUAUAAAUUAUUUUCCCCCCAUUUUACCCCCUACACCCUCAACAUUUUUUUCUUCCAAAAACUGAUGACUCAAAUCCUGGUCAUUAGAUCAACGAUAGUAAAUGUCAGGCCCCAAAUGAUUUCAACCCCUCCAUUGUGCCCCCCGCAGAAAUCACACAGAAAUGAAACUCUGCAUUUUUAAUACUGUCAUCCUGGAGAACACAGGCCAUAUGUGCGUUCAGACCAUGGCCAUUUACAGGUGAGCGCUCAGUGACUAACAGGUUAGUGGGAGGCCUGUAGGCAAAUUUGUCUUCAAUGACUAAAGGGCCUGGAUGUAUCUUACAGCUUUACCUGCUAAUAACUGACAAAAGGCAUCCUAAAACAUUCUCAGAUAUUUUCAGUGAUUUCUGAAUUAGCUUUAGGAAACUCUAACACAUUUUUGUGUGUCUAUCAUGAAAUCCAGGUCAUGUUUUGUAUUGAGUUACACCCAUAAGAUCGCAAGACUUGAUCUCUGUUCAGUCCAUGUUUGGGGUAUGUUUUGUGAUGCUUACAUCCAUGCUCCUCAGUCUUUAUCCUGGGAAGAAUCCACAGGACCUUAAGCAGAAUAGAAACAUUAGGGAAAAUAUAUAAAUAACAGGUAGCUAUAGAACACCAUAAAUGGUGGACAGAAGCUCUUUCUCUUUCCCUCUGUUUGCCCUGGAGCCUGAGGCAAUGAAGCUCCACGGAGAGUAAGUCACUUUCUACGUGUCCACGUGGUGUUUCUCUGACCCGUUGAGGCGGUGAUCCCAUGUCUUCCACUGUGAGAACACUUGAGUGUUUAGAAUAACCUCAAAGGUGACUUAAGAUUCUAGGUUAACUUAGCAAGUCCUGUAGAACUUCUCAGAAAGUUUUAUUGAAUUUCAUGUUUCAUCGCCAUAUUUGUGGCAUCCUCAAACUGAAAAUCAUAAUAAAAUUCACUAUUUUCCAUCAGUUCACUCGUGAAUGUGACGCCAUAGUCAAGCUGCUGGCUGCCGUGAAGAUGCCAGAUGUUUGCUGUUGGGUUUUUUCCCCCAAGCGCUCUUGUUAAG
ensembl:lncRNA